rnacentral:hammerhead_ribozyme from 1 species
AUCCAGCUGACGAGUUCCAAAUAGGAUGAAUUGCAUUUCCUGGAU